GGCCAUCCAACUAAUCUAUCACAUCUUAGAUAAAAGUUUGGUUGAUACCCUGCCUCUGUGUGUCUGUGAAGCAGUUGGGGCAGCAACCUACUUAAGUAAAUCCUCCAUGUUUGCAGAUGUUUUAUCCAUCCAUCUAAUCUGUCACCUCUUCAAUAAGAGUUUGGUUCCUACUGUGCCUCUUUCUGUGUCUGUAUUGAGGUGGGGAUAGCAACCUCGUUAACCAUUAACCUUACAAGUUUUCAGAAAAUUUUAGCCCUACCUCUAAUCUACCACCUCUUAGAUAAGAAUUUGGCUGCUAUGGUACGUUUUUGUGUGUCUGUGUUGUGGAGGGAGAAGCAACCUCAUUAACAGUUUUUUCAGUAAUGAUGGUGACGACCCGAAUUCAUCAAACAAAUGCGGGACUCAAUGCAUAAGGAAUGGAAGGAACUGGUGCUAAAAGUUCAGGAAUUUAAACUGGGGAAUAUGGAGGUGGCAGCAAAAGAAAUAUUUCUCAACUAAGAUACAUGGACAAGGAAGCACACAGUGGAUGAUGCCUGAGGAAUUUUAUGAACUAAAGAUGCUAUUAAAGACAAUACAGAGAUUGAGGAUAAUCUAACGACAAGUAAUAAGAAAAAAUGGUUUGAGAACCACCGUUACAAAUUAAGUUCCUCGAUAGUGUGCAAACUUCUCUCAGAGCUGAAAGGGUAAUUGCACACUACAUAUCUGAAUGAGCAUUAAUGUCCAACAGAAGAAACAACAUAAAAUUUAUUUUGAUAACACUUUCAAAUUGCGAUAGUGAACUAAUACAAAUGAGUAUAAAGUUCUACAAUGACAAAUGGAAAAUCAGCAAAAGGAGGAGCAAACUAAAGUUGGUCCUAGCUCUUGUGCUGAAAGCCUCACUGACAUCAUAGAUGGUUUGCCCAUUAUAUAGAAAGCUGUGCAGUCAACAAAAUUCAGCACAAAUGCGCUAGAGAAACAGAACCUUGAAUUAUGUAUAAAAGCCAGCCUUUCAUACAUGAUUCCCACUGGUACCAGAAUGACACUUGCAUCUAUGUGGAUAGUAAGAUUACAUGUUCAUUACUCUACAAGCAACCAUUUUCUUGUUGGACAACAUAUUGGCUUAAUUGAUGAUUGACUUCAACAUUGUGUAUCCACAAUGACAUUCACCCUUAAAACAGAGAGAUAAAUGACUAACAGUUUCCAAAAUACAAUAAAAGAAAAACUAUGAGUUGCUUGUUAUGUUAUUUGGGCUGUCAAAUGUACCUGGUACGUUAUGUGGAUCCAAGUCAAGUGCUAAAACUUUUUAUUUGUAAGUUUCUACCAAUGAUUUAAAACACUGCUGCCUUGGAUGCCAACAUGGUCUGCAGGUGGGGCUGCCCAGGCAUCUGCCUUAAAAUUUUGCAUCGUAUUCAAAUAUGAAGGAUGAGAUUGAUUUACAAAUUGGUGGAUGUUGCCAAGCUGGUAGUCCAACUGACUAUCUUAGUUACCUGAAGUGGGAGAGAGCGUAGGAGCGGAUAUUGGUGCAGGUGCAGGGUAGCGGAUCUCUAUUUUUUUAUUAAAGAGAAGGAAAAGAGAAAAAUAGGAGUAGGAAGCACCUAGAAAGAAGUUUCGGGGGGGAGUAUGUUGAGGAUUUCUAGGAAGAUAUGACACCUAGACAGAAGUUUCUGGCCACUAUGCAUACAGAAUCUUAUUUUGUUAUUAUGUUUGAAUUACUGGAUUUAUGCAUCAUUUUAGGCUUCUCUUUGUAUUUAUUUUCAUUUUUAAUUUACCAUUUUAGGGCCUCCUUGAUCUAUGGGUGCCUGCCUAGGGCUAGGCGGCCCCCCAGCAUGCCUACCUACCACCAACUGUCUUUAGAAUAUUGAACUACAGUAAAAUGUAACUUGGUGAUAUUGACAUUUACAGCUAGAAUCAUAUUUAGCAUCUUCAUUUGGUAAUGGAAGGUGCUAUGACUAGAAAAGUUCUGAUCACUUCAGAAGUUGCUUUGUUCUAAAUAGCUUCAUAUUUUUCAGCUAUGUCAUUUACAAAGUUUUAAGCUUAAGCUUGACAAGGCUAAGGGUAUCAUAUAUUGACUUUACCUUAUUGUAAUAAAUAGGCAAUAAGAACUUUUCUUUGAUAGGAAAUAGCAACCAUCUUGAUCAUUUUACAGUGUUAAUAACUUGUUACAUUGGAUAAAUAAAUGGAUGGUAAGUGCUUUUGAGAAUGCAAAUUCAUGCAAGUAAUGUCCUUUGAUUUCACCCAUUUCAGCCUGCGUGGUUGAUCAAGUAAAGAGACUAGAUCUGCAAGUUCCACUAAUUAGAUGAAUCAUUUUGGCUACCCCAAAAAUCCUGCAGUUGGAAACCUUUAGCUGGUCAUGAACAGAUCAGAUACCCACAUAUGCAGAGAGCACCCAAGGCUUGCUAGCAAUAGCAUUCUCUGUUGUGGUCAAAAGAAAAUAUUGAGAAUUCUCUAUGCACCAUGAGUCAGUUCCCAAGAACUUUCAUAGACAACACUACUAUGACGUAAUUUGAAAUGUACACACACAUGAGAUAAGGACAUUGAAUCGAAAGAAUAAAAUACUUGAACGAAUCAAAUAAAUGGUAGGUUGAGAUAAAUCCUCACACAUGAGAGUCACGGAAAAGGCUAGCGCACAUUCCAAAUGGCAUCUAUAGCAUGUUAGGAUGUGAUUGAUGACCAAAUUCUCCAAGAUUGUUACAAUUGGAGAUUAAAUCAAGAAAUCCACAUUGCCACUAAGCGUGCAUCUAUACUUGCUGACAAUAAUUUUCAGAAAAUGCUGUGCUUUUCCAUGUCAGUGGUCUGCGCAUGCUUGGUAGUGUGUGUGGUGAAUUACCCAUGCAUCCCCUGCAUGCUGCUGCUUGUGUGCUGCCACAUCAGUGCGCAAGGAUUCAUGCACAGGUGGUCACUUGUGGGCAUACCAACACUCCAAUAAUUUUAUGAAGAACCA
rnacentral:lncRNA from 1 species